rnacentral:sRNA from 1 species
UAAGGUAACAGUCAGUAUGGCCGACGGCGC